rnacentral:rRNA from 1 species
GAUGAACGCUGGCGGCGUGCCUAAUACAUGCAAGUCGAGCGAACAGAUGAGGAGCUUGCUCCUCUGACGUUAGCGGCGGACGGGUGAGUAACACGUGGAUAACCUACCUAUAAGACUGGGAUAACUUCGGGAAACCGGAGCUAAUACCGGAUAAUAUAUUGAACCGCAUGGUUCAAUAGUGAAAGACGGUUUUGCUGUCACUUAUAGAUGGAUCCGCGCCGCAUUAGCUAGUUGGUAAGUUAACGGCUUACCAAGGCAACGAUGCGUAGCCGACCUGAGAGGGUGAUCGGCCACACUAGAACUGAGACACGGUCCAGACUCCUACGGGAGGCAGCAGUAGGGAAUCUUCCGCAAUGGGCGAAAGCCUGACGGAGCAACGCCGCGUGAGUGAUGAAGGUCUUCGGAUCGUAAAACUCUGUUAUUAGGGAAGAACAAAUGUGUAAGUAACUAUGCACGUCUUGACGGUACCUAAUCAGAAAGCCACGGCUAACUACGUG